rnacentral:rRNA from 1 species
AAUGAACGCUGGCGGCGUGGAUUAGGCAUGCAAGUCGAACGCGAAAGUUCCCUUCGGGGAGCGAGUAGAGUGGCGAAAGGGUGAAUAAUGCUUGGAUGACCUGCCCUCGAGACGGGGACAACAGUUCGAAAGGACUGCUAAUACCCGAUAGUCCGGUUUAGAUGCGUCUAGAUCGGUAAAUGGUGCUUCCGCUCGAGGAGGGGUUCAAGUCCUAUCAGCUUGUUGGUGAGGUAACGGCUCACCAAGGCGAUGACGGGUAGCCGGACUGAGAGGUUGGCCGGCCACAUGGGAACUGAGACACUGUCCUGACUCCUACGGGAGGCUGCAGUCGAGAAUCUUCUGCAAUGGGCGAAAGCCUGACAGAGCGACGCCGCGUGGAGGAUGAAGGCCCUCGGGUCGUGGAACUCCUGUCACAUGUUAUGAAACGCACAGGUCUACCUGUGCGCUGACAAAAGCAUGAGAGGAAGUCACGGCUAACUUCGUG